rnacentral:sRNA from 1 species
GCUGGGCAUGGUGGCGCAUGCCUUUAAUCCCAGCUACUUGGGAGGCUGAGGUAGGAGAACUGCUUGAACCAGGGAGUUGGAGGUUGCAGUGAGCCAAUAUCGCACCACUGCACUCCAGCCUGGCAACAGAGUGAGGCUCCGUCUCAAAAAAAAAAAAAAAAAUACAGACAGCAUCUUACUCUGUUGCCCAGGCUGGAGUGCAGUGGCACGAUCAUAGCUCACUGAAACCUUCACUUCCUGGGCUUAAGCGAUCCUCCCACCUU